rnacentral:rRNA from 1 species
UACGGAGGAUGCGAGCGUUAUCCGGAUUUAUUGGGUUUAAAGGGUGCGCAGGCGGCGAGUUAAGUCAGCGGUAAAAUUUCGGGGCUCAACCCCGUCGUGCCGUUGAAACUGACACCCUUGAGUGGGCGAGAAGUAUGCGGAAUGCGUGGUGUAGCGGUGAAAUGCAUAGAUAUCACGCAGAACGCCGAUUGCGAAGGCAGCAUACCGGCGCCCAACUGACGCUGAGGCACGAAAGCGUGGGGAUCGAACAGG